rnacentral:rRNA from 1 species
CCCUUAGAUGUUCUGGGCCGCACGCGCGCUACACUGAUGCAUUCAACGAGUCUAAAACCUGGUCUGAUAGGGCUGGGUAAUCUUUUGAAAGUGCAUCGUGAUCGGGAUAGAUGAUUGCAAUUCUUCAUCUUCAACGAGGAAUGCCUAGUAAACGCAAGUCAUCAGCUUGCAUUGAUUACGUCCCUGCCCUUUGUACACACCGCCCGUCGCUCCUACCGAUUGAAUGAUCCGAUGAAUACCAUGGAUUGAGAGUACGAAUGGGUUCGCUCAUUUCUGCUGCUCGAGAAGUGGAGUAAAUCUUAUCAUUUAGAGGAAGGAGAAGUCGUAACA